GAUGAAGAACGUAGCGAAAUGCGAUAAGUAAUGUGAAUUGCAGAAUUCAGUGAAUCAUCGAAUCUUUGAACGCACAUUGCGCCCGCCAGUAUUCUGGCGGGCAUGCCUGUCUGAGCGUCAUUUCAACCCUCAUGCCCCUAGGGCGUGGUGUUGGGGAUCGGCCAAAGCCCGCGAGGGACGGCCGGCCCCUAAAUCUAGUGGCGGACCCGUCGUGGCCUCCUCUGCGAAGUAGUGAUAUUCCGCAUCGGAGAGCGAUGAGCCCCUGCCGUUAAACCCCCAACUUUCCAAGGUUGAUCUCAGAUCAGGUAGGAAUACCCGCUGAACUUAAGCAUAUCAAUAAGCGGAGGA
rnacentral:misc_RNA from 1 species